CCCUUAGACACUCUAGGCGGCACGCGCGCUACAAUGGGUGGAAGAACGUGUUACUGCCUCCGAAAGGAGGGGUGAAUCACGAAUUCUUGCCCGUGAAUGGGAUAGUUUGUUGCAAUUUUCGGACUUGAACUAGGAAUCCCUUGUAAACAUGCUCAAGAAUAGCGUGUUGAAUACGUCCCUGCCGUUUGUACACACCGCCCGUCGUUUCUUCCGACUGAUACUCAUUGUGAGUUGCAAGGACCCUUUAUUGGGAAAUUGCUGCAAAUGCUUUGUAUUGGAGGAAGAAAAAGUCGUANCA
rnacentral:rRNA from 1 species